CGCGUAGGCGGACCCGCCAGUCUGUGGUGAAAGCCCCCAGCUCAACUGGGGAAGUGCCGUGGAUACUGCGGGUCUGGAGGAGGGUAGGGGCAUCUGGAACGCUGGGUGGAGCGGUGAAAUGCGUUGAUAUCCAGCGGAGCUCCGGUGGCGAAGGCGAGGUGCUGGACCCUUUCUGACGCUGAGUGUGCGAAAGCCAGGGGAGCAAACG
rnacentral:rRNA from 1 species